UUAUUACCCAAGUCCAAGCAGAAGGUUUUCUCCAGUCCCUUUGGAUCAUAAAAUGAUUGAUGCCUUCUUACUGCUGGAGUCUUCUUCUGAUGCUUCCUAGGAUGAUUACUUUAACUCCUGCACGGCUUGUCACAAUACAAUAUUACACAUUCAAUGUUGUUCGGACUUUGUUUGUCCUGAGACAUUGAUCUCCUCAAUCUUUUUCCAGGAGGAACAGAUGUUUUGAACUUAAAUUGUCUUUGCUCUCGACAAUCUCCAUCAUUUUUGGCAUAGGACAUUUUACUACGUUUGGGAGGAUGAUUGCUGAACAAUUGAAGAACUAGUAGACUCAACAUUAGAAGAACCAGUAAAAGUAGUAGAUGUAUCAAAAUCUUGUUUAUUGAGUAAGUUGUACCGUUCUGUCAAAAUCUCUCCAACAUCUGAAGUUUGCAUUUCAGGUCCAUUGGUUGUGUCAUAAUAAGUUUGAGCAUCCGUUUCCAAUACAUGACAGUAUUUUCAUUCACUUGUAGGUGCAUGGUAAGAAAAGGAAGUCCAUGAAUUGGAAUUGGUAAGAGCAUCAUGAUUUUUUUUAGAAAAAAAAAACAUAUUGAUUUAAGCACAUAGUAUUAUCACCUGCUGGAUUUUCCAUUCAGUCUAGUAUUCAAGUGCUAAAACCUCUGGUUUCAGGCAGCAUUCCCUGGAUAUUUCAUCCACCAAACUAUGCUUCACAUCAUCUGCCCUGACAUAAGGGAGAGUUUCUCCUUUAUCUAUAGUUUUAGAUUUUGUUUGUUGUAGACAUCAUUGUAAUCAUCAUUUUCUUUUCCUCUUAUUACUCUGUAAUAAUGAAACCAUUUUGAUGAUGGAGGUCAAACUCCCUGAUGGAUUGCUGCAAGAGAUUCUGCUAUGGCUAUCAUUCAUUUCUCUCAUGCAAUUCAAGCGUGUCUCCAAAUCCUGGAAUGCUCUCAUUUCUGGUUAAAAUUUCGUCUAUAAACACCAACUUCACGCCCGAUCCCCUUCCAACAAGACCAAGAAUGCCCUUCUUCUUGUUAAUCGGCGUGAUAGAACCACCUUAGAUUUUGUUGCCUCUAGGCUUUCUUAUGAAACUCUCCAGGUAUUCCGCACACAAAGUCUACCUCUAAUUUGUAAUACGAACGAUUAUCAACGAAAGGUUUACAUUGCAGGUUCUUGCAACGGUCUCGUUUGUGUUCACAAUAAUUAUGACUUGAAUAUUGUUCUCUAGAACUCUGGAACUCAAGAAACAAAGCUUGUCCCUAUAUCAAACAAACCCCUCCUUCCUUCUGGCUAUUGUUCAGUCUUUAGUGAAAAAACCAUCAUCAAUGUUUCAAAUUGGCAUAAAUUAUUAACCUCACGAUUCACAAGAUUCUAAGGAGAUUGUUCAGCAAAAUAAUAAUAAUAAUAA